AUACGUAGGGUGCAAGCGUUAUCCGGAAUUAUUGGGCGUAAAGGGCUCGUAGGCGGUUCGUCGCGUCCGGUGUGAGAGUCCAUCGCUUAACGGUGGAUCCGCGCCGGGUACGGGCGGGCUUGAGUGCGGUAGGGGAGACUGGAAUUCCCGGUGUAACGGUGGAAUGUGUAGAUAUCGGGAAGAACACCAAUGGCGAAGGCAGGUCUCUGGGCCGUUACUGACGCUGAGGAGCGAAAGCGUGGGGAGCGAACAGGAUUAGAUACCCUGGUAGUCCACGCCGUAAACGGUGGAUGCUGGAUGUGGGGCCCGUUCCACGGGUUCCGUGUCGGAGCUAACGCGUUAAGCAUCCCGCCUGGGGAGUACGGCCGCAAGGCUAAAACUCAAAGAAAUUGACGGGGGCCCGCACAAGCGGCGGAGCAUGCGGAUUAAUUCGAUGCAACGCGAAGAACCUUACCUGGGCUUGACAUGUUCCCGACGGUCGUAGAGAUACGGCUUCCCUUCGGGGCGGGUUCACAGGUGGUGCAUGGUCGUCGUCAGCUCGUGUCGUGAGAUGUUGGGUUAAGUCCCGCAACGAGCGCAACCCUCGCCCCGUGUUGCCAGCGGAUUAUGCCGGGAACUCACGGGGGACCGCCGGGGUUAACUCGGAGGAAGGUGGGGAUGACGUCAGAUCAUCAUGCCCCUUACGUCCAGGGCUUCACGCAUGCUACAAUGGCCGGUACAACGGGAUGCGACGCGGCGACGCGGAGCGGAUCCCUGAAAACCGGUCUCAGUUCGGAUCGCAGUCUGCAGCUCGACUGCGUGAAGGCGGAGUCGCUAGUAAUCGCGAAUCAGCAACGUCGCGGUGAAUGCGUUCCCGGGCCUUGUACACACCGCCCGUCAAGUCAUGAAAGUGGGCAGCACCCGAAGCCGGUGGCCUAACCCCUUGUGGGAUGGAGCCGUCUAAGGUGAGGCUCGUGAUUGGGACU
rnacentral:rRNA from 1 species